ACAUCAUUUCUAUACAUUACAUAACCUCUGUACUGUACAUCAUUAUCAUGUCCACUACUCUAUACUAUUACAUAUGCUUUUACCCUUGCUUUCUCUUUCUCUUUCUCUUCUCUGAGGCCCUGAAAAAUGGGAUUAGGGAGAGGGAUGAGCUACUAAAGCCCAGUGAGCGGAAGCCAUAAAAACAUUUAAAAUAUGCUAUAAUGUAAUGCGUCACUGCACAAACAUUUCACAUCUCAGAUUGGACAUGACCCCAAAACUCCCUCUGUCGGUGCCCGGCCCCCAAAGGAGCUCACACAGGUCUUUCACUAACUACUCAUGGUGCCCGACCCUAUAAGGGCUCUCACAGGACUCAUCCAAGUUAAAUGCCCGGCCCCAAAGGAGCUCACACAGGACAUACAAUAAUGACAGACUUGUGGGCUAUUGGAGUCGCCUCGGUCCAAUCCACAUAUACAAGUAAUAAUGCAAUGCAUCAACUUGGUGAAUACUAAUGCAAAGCAUCCUACAUAAACAUGGCAUUAAUGAUGCAUGAAUCAUGCUAAAACAUUCAUUAACUUUCAAACAUAGUUCUGUUCCACUCACCUCUGUCUACUGCUGAGCAGUCUCUGUAACUCUAACUCUGUGGGCCUCCUUGGUCCCUCGGGUUCGCACCUACACAGGUGGACUCAAAUGAGGACCAAACAUACUUAAACAUAACUCUUAAUAUCUCCCCAAAACCCCUCUAAAACAUCAUAAGCAUGCAUGACAAAAUGGGCAAAGGAAGGCUGGUCAGGGCACUUUCGGCGGCUGGUUCGGCGGCCGAAACCUCCCUCCAGAGACGAAACUCAUGCAUGUUCGGCGGCACCUUCGGCGGCCGAAAGCCUCGUCNNNN
rnacentral:lncRNA from 1 species